ensembl:lncRNA
UUUUUUUUUUCCAUAGAAAAUAUCAUAGGAUGGCUUGGGUUGGUAGGGAUCUGAUAGCCCACCCAGUCCCAACCCCUGCCCAGGCUGGGACACGGCUGCUGCUUUCCUCUUGGCAGGUUGAGCUGGUGGCAGUGCUGAGCACCUCUCCCAGAGACACAGACAGACGUCCCCAGCAGUGACAAGUGGCUUUGUAGGCUGCCCCAGCCAAGGGCUGCCUUCAGCAGGACUCUCAUAGAACACAGACACAUUUCUACCUCCCUCACUACAAAGGACACUGGUAUUUGGGUACCUGACAGAAGCAGUGUCCGUGGGUGCAGAGAUGCUCCCUGCUCUCCCAAAGCAGGAACAUGGAGCUGAAGCCAGCAGCACGGCGUGUACUCAUGCAGCAGGGGACCUGGACCGGUGUUGGAUCCAUAGUGCACAUCACAUGAAAGUCCAGAGCUUACAGAGGUUCCUGGCUUUGAAAUAUCCCGCUAUGGUGGCUGCUUCUGCCUGCAUAAAUUACUCAUCUUGUUACUGUCACGCAUGUUUGAUAUACACCAGCGUUCCUGGCAUACCUAUAUUCCCUGUAGUGAGCUCCUAUGCUAAUUCAGCCCCGUAUGGGUGAAGCCUAUCAAGUUGCUAAUGCAGACCAAUGGCUGAUAAAGAACGAAAUUUUCAUUUCCAUUUUCCAGCAGCAGCCCCAGCAAACAGAUGUAGCCAAGUGAGGCUGACAUUUCAAGCAACUACUGAGAUCACAUUACCGAGAUGAUAUUUAAUAUGGACGGCCAAAUCCUUCAAACAAAAUCAAUGUUCUUUUACUUAAUAAUACCCUCGCCACAUUUUAAUGAUGGCUCCUCCAGCACAAGGCCCUGUUUUUCUGCAGUCAUUUCAUUCUGUGACAUCGCUGACUGCAUCAGAUGGUGCAUAAUGUUGUUUUCCUCCGUUUCAAUUGGAUUUUGAAUUCCCAUCCUCGAUUUGUCAGUUGUGAGAUCGAUUAAUCAAGGCGUUCUCGGGGGAGAAACGUUUUGAUUACGGAGAAGGAAGGGGAAUUUAUUCAAAUCUUGCAUCUUCCUGCAGCAUCCGAUGUGUUUUAUUCAGUCUCCCCACCCAGCAUGGACAGGAGGACAACAAGAGACUCACAGAUCAGUCCUCUUCCACCAGAGCUAUUAGCUGACAUGGGAACUGACCACUGAUAACCCACACCAAGCAGGCAGGGUAUGCCCAUGCACAGUGCCUGGCCAUGCACAGGCAGCAUCCAAGAGUCAGCAAGGCAGCACUGGGGCACGAGAAACAGUUGCAGCAGCUGUGGGUGAGAAGAGGAAGCCAUUCGUCAUCCCAGUAGAUUCACUUUCAUUAGCAGCGCCUGGAGAAAUUUAGUCAGGACGUGCUAAACACUUGUGCAAUUAGAGAACCUGCUGUAAGCCUCUUCGGAAAGCUGGGGGGAAAUGUCAAUUUAUGUAUCAGCUGGUGCCCGUCUCAGGGCGAAGGAUCUCUCAGUAGGGCACACUUAGCAUCCUGGGCAUUGCUGUCAAGCUGAAAUUUUGCAGCAGACCUGGCUAUAGCACCAAAAGCACAUUCCUGGCCCCAAAAUGAGUACUCCCAUCGCUUCCCGUAUCUUUACAUGUACCAUGGCAAAUCCCUCUCUGCAUGUGCUUGGCUUUGCACCUCGAAAAUGUGGUAGAGCACUCAUGAGCCCUCUAGGUUCAACUUCACCUUUCAGCCCAAGGAGUAAGGGAAAGCUUACCAAGUGCCUUUGCGUUAAGGGACUGCAGUGAAUUUGCGAGCUCGAUAAGCCAGUUGGAAGCAGGUGCCACCAAAACUCAAGCCCAGAACACCGAGUUCAACUCUUCUGAAUGCCUGGGUACUUACAGCCAAGCCUGAGUGUGGUGGUCUGGCUUUCUCUCUUGACUGAGGCCGCACUGAUAUCCUUCCUUGCAUGACGGCCUGCGGGCCCAUAUCCUCUUUAGCAGUGUCCCUGCUCUGGGGAGUCACGCUUCCUCUCAGAUUGAUUUAUCACAUGCAUCUCCUUGCACACAGCCAACUGACAGAUGAGGGUCUUCUGUAUCUUCCCUCAUGGGCUGGGUUGAAGGAUUUUAAAAAAAAAAAGAAGGAAAGGUUAUUUAAAUCAUGUCCCAAACCAGGAAAAUAACAUCACAAAGCCCAUAAUCCAGUUUUCCAUCCCAUUAACUCCUUUUGAAGGGCCUUCUUUGUUGCCAGCAGAAAAUCUGGCAGGGUCUAUGUGAGCCCAGCCCCUGCAGUCCUCCCUUAGGGGAGCAGCUGUGGGCACACUGGGCGGCCAUCUCCACCCUGUGCACCUGUAGGGCCCAUUUGGUUACCAUUGGUGGCUAAAUGAGGACGUGUGAAGCUGUUGGGGCUGCAAGUGGAUGAUCAAGGUCAGGUAUUUGUGGCACAGGGCUUAAAAAUAAAAAGCAAUUGCAGCAGCUCUUGCAGGAUAGGGACUCACAGCCAGGGCAGGAGAGAGGAGCUCUGGAACAGCAGAGCUGUGUGCAUGGAGGAUGGAGGAGAGCAGAAAAUGUGCAUGAGGAGCGCCGCCAGAACCAGCUCUCUUCCAAAUAAAUUACCUUGCUUAAGAAAUAUGCAGUGCGCAGAGCAGCUCCAUAGUUAGUUUUGGAGCAGUGCCUUUCCUUGGUUGCUGUGCAACAGAGCCUCAUUUCCCAGGGCUCAUUGACCAGUGCAUCCAUGCUGGUGGUACUGGGUUGGAAGGACAAGUCACAGCCAGGAGUGGCAGGGAGCUGCCCCCAGGUGCUUGGAGCAAUAGUUCAGGAGUACUAGUCUAGUGCUACCAAUGGGUGUCCAGGUCACUGGGUGGGCUGGGCAGCGACCACAGGAACCCACAGGCAAGCAUCCAGGUGCAGUUCAUACAAAGAGUGCAUAUAGACAUCUGUGCAGAGCACCAACACGACAGCAGCCUGUACCUGUGUCCCUCCAUCCUGGGGAAGACCCUGAGCUGCUGCACCUCCUGUCUUUUCACUCUGUGUGUCACUUCCACUGGCCCCAAGACUCUGCUUCUUCUCAUAGCCCACAGCUCAGCAGUAUCCCUCUUUCAGGGCUAAAUUAAUCCUGGCUGCGGCAGUCAGGAAGCUCUACAGCUCAUUUAGGUAACCUCAACCCUGACAUUCACAGGAGAGAGCUGUUCUUUGGAAACAUGCAACAAUAGCAAUGAGAGACCACUUUCUGAUGAAGCUUUUCCAAACCAUAACAAAACGUGGAGGCUCCAGAUGGGUCAGAGUGAGCCCUGGGGAUUAUUUUACUUGAGUGAGAAUGACUGCUCUGUGGAUGCUACCGAGAGGCACAUUGACCUUGGUUGUGAUGGGUCAUUAAUUCAUUGGCUCAGUGCAGUUUAACCUCUUUAUCAUUGUGUUGCAUUUCAAGUGGAUUCACUGUCUGUGUGAAUUGCACGUACUCCUUUUGUGCCACCUUGAGCAAACACACACGCUGUAUAGAGCAGGAUGCUAAACUAGGUGAUGCUGGGGACCAAGGGCAUUGCAAGGAGCACUACAGGGAUGCAGAGCCAUCAAGAUGGUCACCCAAGUUGACCAUCAAUACAUUGAGAAGACCAUGCAGCAGGACAGGCUCUGUGGCCCGUCUCUGCCUCCAGCAGGCAGAUCUUCCAUUCACUAUAAGGGAAGGCAGAAUUAUGAUCCAGGACACAGUGAUUAAGAGCUUAAAAAGACAGAUGUUACAUACUAGACACUGCACAAAAUCACCAUAGGGCCCGCAGGGAGACGACCACUCUGCCCAAACUAAGCUGUGUUCUCAGGCAUGGUGGGGAAACAUAACUACUUACAGCAGUAAAAAACAAACAAGAGACUAUCCAUUAUUCUCCUCCAGCUCUUCUAUUUGCCUAAGACAUCUCUCCUUAACCACUUCUGUUCAUGCACGACAGCAGAAACACCCCUCAGGCUGUAUGACCACCUUGCUGCCUCCAGCCACAUGCAGUAGGACCUCCCAGGCAAAGCUGA